rnacentral:rRNA from 1 species
CCCUUAGAUGUUCUGGGCCGCACGCGCGCUACACUGAUGCAAUCAGCAAGUUCUUUACCUUGGCCGAAAGGUCUGGGUAAUCUUGUGAAAUUGUAUCGUGUUAGGGCUUAAGAAUUGUAACUAUUUCUUAUAAACGAGGAAUUCCUAGUAAUCGCAAGUCAGCAGCUUGCAAUGAUUACGUCCCUGCCCUUUGUACACACCGCCCGUCGCUCCUACCGAUUGAAUGUUCCGGUGAACACUCCGGAGCCGUGGUCUUGUUUGGGAAACUCAAACUUGACCAAUUGGUGAAGUUGUGUAAACCAUAACAUUUAGAGGAAGGAGAAGUCGUAACA